rnacentral:rRNA from 1 species
AUGUUCGACGGCGUCAGCGUGGAGGCGGUCCGGCCCCAGCCCGACGGCACCCUCGGCAUAACCGUCUCCUACGCCGAGGCCCUCUGGCCCCCGGCGAAGCGGUUCAGCUGCGUCAACGUGGGCGGCCUCUUGCCGGCGCAGGCCGACGAGGUCGAGGACGAUGACAUGACGGAGAGGGAGAAGAUUGCGCUCCGGCGGAGGCAUGAGAGGGCGUAUCAGCAGCGGCUCGGGCGGGCCAAGGCGUGCAUCCUGCCGGAGCCCGUGCGCGGGGAGGUGGUGGAGAUGGUGAGGAAGCAGGGACGGGUGAGCGCCAGGCUGCUGCAGAGGAUCAGGGACUGCGUCCAGAGGUGGUACCACGGUGAGGGGUUCGUGUGCGCUCAGGUGAUCAACUUCGGGAAUCUUGACGCCGGCGAGGUUUUGUGCGAGGUCGUCGAGGGGGAGGUAACCGGGGUGGAGUACCAGUUCCAAGACAAGCUCGGCAAUGUCGUCGAGGGGAACACCCAGCUCCCUGUAAUUGACAGGGAGCUGCCCCAGCAGCUUCGACCAGGUCAUAUCUUUAACAUUGGGGCGGGGAAACAAGCUCUGAAGAACAUAAAUGCGCUCGGAUUAUUCUCCAACAUAGAGGUGAAUCCACGACCUGAUGAGACAAAAGAAGGGGGCGUAGUGGUUGAAAUCAAGCUCAAAGAACAAGAUCCCAAAUCAGCCGACGUGGAGACAGUGUGGAACUUUGUACCAGGGGAUCAGGGACGACCAACUCUUGCAUCCAUUCAACCUGGAGGAGGUGUGACGUUUGAGCACCGCAACAUCUGUGGCCUGAACCGAUCUCUCGCCGGAUCUUUCUCAUCGAGCAACCUGCUCAACCCUCAGGAUGAUGUUUCAUUCAAGCUUGAGUACACACAUCCUUACUUGGACGGUGUGGAGGACCGGAGCAGGAACCGCAUCUUCAAAGCCAGUUGCUUCAACACCAAGAAACUCAGCCCUGUCUUUGUCGCCGGCCCCAACAUGGACGAUGCUCCACCCAUCUGGGUCGACAGAGUUGGAAUCAAAGCUAACAUAACAGAGAACCUCACAAAGCAGAGCAAGUUCACGUAUGGCCUCGUGCUGGAGGAGAUCACGACGCGUGAUGAGAGCAAUGAUGUGUGCACACAUGGGCUCCGGACGAAGGCCACCGGUGCCCUUGGCAUGGAUGGCCCCCCCACGACGUUCAGCGGCACCGGCGUGGACCGGAUGGCGUUUCUUCAUGCCAAUGUGACCCGGGAUAACACGGAGUUCGUCAACGGUGAGACCAUCGGUGACAGAUGCAUCUUCCAGGUGGACCAGGGCCUGGGCAUCGGGAGCAGGAACCCGUUCUUCAACCGCCAUCAGCUGACGGUCACGAAGUUCGUGAACCUAAACAAGCAAGAGAAGGGAGCCGGGAAGCCGCCGCCGGCCGUUCUCGUCGCCCAUGGCCGCUACGCCGGAUGCGUGGGGGACCUGCCGAGCUACGACGCGUUCGCCCUCGGAGGGCCUCACUCGGUCAGGGGCUACGGCAUGGGCGAACUCGGCGCCUGUAGGAACCUUCUCGAGGUCGCGACGGAGGUGCGCAUCCCUGUCCCCGUGAUGAAGAACACGCACGUUUACGCUUUUGCCGAGCAUGGCACCGACCUCGGGAGCUCCAAGGACGUCAAGGGGAACCCCACGGAGUUCUUCCGGCGCGCCGGCCAGGGAUCGUCGUAUGGCGUGGGCGUCCGGCUUGGCCCGCUCCGGGCGGAGUACGCCGUCGACCACAACGCCGGCACGGGAUCCGUCUUCUUCAGAUACGGCGACAGGUUCUAG